GAUGAACGCUAGCGGGAGGCCUAACACAUGCAAGCCGAGCGGUAUUGUUUCUUCGGAAAUGAGAGAGCGGCGUACGGGUGCGGAACACGUGUGCAACCUGCCUUUAUCUGGGGGAUAGCCUUUCGAAAGGAAGAUUAAUACUCCAUAAUAUAUUGAACGGCAUCGUUUAAUAUUGAAAGCUCCGGCGGAUAGAGAUGGGCACGCGCAAGAUUAGCUAGUUGGUGAGGUAACGGCUCACCAAGGCGAUGAUCUUUAGGGGGCCUGAGAGGGUGAUCCCCCACACUGGUACUGAGACACGGACCAGACUCCUACGGGAGGCAGCAGUGAGGAAUAUUGGUCAAUGGGUGCAAGCCUGAACCAGCCAUCCCGCGUGAAGGACGACUGCCCUAUGGGUUGUAAACUUCUUUUGUAUAGGGAUAAACCUACCCUCGUGAGGGUAGCUGAGGGUACUAUACGAAUAAGCACCGGCUAACUCCGUGCCAGCAGCCGCGGUAAUACGGAGGGUGCAAGCGUUAUCCGGAUUUAUUGGGUUUAAAGGGUCCGUAGGCGGACUUAUAAGUCAGUGGUGAAAGCCUGUCGCUUAACGAUAGAACUGCCAUUGAUACUGUGAGUCUUGAGUAUAUUUGAGGUAGCUGGAAUAAGUAGUGUAGCGGUGAAAUGCAUAGAUAUUACUUAGAACACCAAUUGCGAAGGCAGGUUACCAAGAUAUAACUGACGCUGAGGGACGAAAGCGUGGGGAGCGAACAGGAUUAGAUACCCUGGUAGUCCACGCCGUAAACGAUGCUAACUCGUUUUUGGGCUUUAGGGUUCAGAGACCAAGCGAAAGUGAUAAGUUAGCCACCUGGGGAGUACGCUCGCAAGAGUGAAACUCAAAGGAAUUGACAGGGGCCCGCACAAGCGGUGGAUUAUGUGGUUUAAUUCGAUGAUACGCGAGGAACCUUACCAAGACUUAAAUGGGAAUUGACAGCUUUAGAAAUAGAGCUUUCUUCGGACAAUUUUCAAGGUGCUGCAUGGUUGUCGUCAGCUCGUGCCGUGAGGUGUUAGGUUAAGUCCUGCAACGAGCGCAACCCCUGUCACUAGUUGCCAUCAUUCAGUUGGGGACUCUAGUGAGACUGCCUACGCAAGUAGAGAGGAAGGUGGGGAUGACGUCAAAUCAUCACGGCCCUUACGUCUUGGGCCACACACGUAAUACAAUGGCCGGUACAGAGGGCAGCUACACAGCGAUGUGAUGCAAAUCUCGAAAGCCGGUCUCAGUUCGGAUUGGAGUCUGCAACUCGACUCUAUGAAGCUGGAAUCGCUAGUAAUCGCGCAUCAGCCAUGGCGCGGUGAAUACGUUCCCGGGCCU
rnacentral:rRNA from 1 species